rnacentral:rRNA from 1 species
CACGUAGGGGGCGAGCGUUGUCCGGAUUUAUUGGGCGUAAAGAGCUCGUAGGCGGCUCGGUAAGUCGGGUGUGAAAUUUCGAGGCUCAACCUCGAAACGCCACCCGAUACUGCUGUGGCUAGAGUCCGGUAGGGAGCGUGGAAUUCCUGGUGUAGCGGUGAAAUGCGCAGAUAUCAGGAGGAACACCGGUGGCGAAGGCGGCUCUCUGGACCGAGACUGACGCUGAGGCGCGAAAGCGUGGGGAGCAAACAGG